rnacentral:rRNA from 1 species
UAAGACGAACCGUGCGAACGUUAUUCGGAUUCAUUGGGCUUAAAGAGCACGUAGGCGGCGACAUAAGUCGGGGGUGAAAUACUAUCGGCUCAACCGUAGAAUUGCCUUCGAUACUGUGUCGCUCGAGGAAGAUAGGGGCGAGUGGAACUUCCGGUGGAGCGGUGAAAUGUGUUGAGAUCGGAAGGAACGCCAGUGGCGAAAGCGACUCGCUGGGUCUUAUCUGACGCUGAGGUGCGAAAGCUAGGGGAGCAAACGGGAUUAGAUACCCCGGUAGUCCUAGCCGUAAACGAUGGGUACUGGGUAGAAAGCGAUCCGAUGUCGCCUUCUGCCGAAGCGAAAGUGUUUAGUACCCCGCCUGGGGAGUAUGGUCGCAAGGCUG